rnacentral:rRNA from 1 species
GAUGAACGCUAGCGGCAGGCCUAAUACAUGCAAGUCGAACGGUGUCUUGGACAUAGUGGCGCACGGGUGCGUAACACGUAUGCAACCUACCUUACAUUGGGGGAUAGCCUUUCGAAAGGGAGAUUAAUACCGCAUAAGACAGUAGCUGGGCAUCCAGCAGCUGUUAAAGAUUUAUCGAUGUAAGCUGGGCAUGCGUCCAAUUAGCUAGUUGGUGAGGUAACGGCUCACCAAGGCAAUGAUUGGUAGGGGAACUGAGAGGUCAAUCCCCCACACUGGCACUGAGAUACGAGCCAGACUCCUACGGGAGGCAGCAGUAGGGAAUAUUGGGCAAUGGACGCAAGUCUGACCCAGCCAUGCCGCGUGCAGGAUGAAGGCGUUAUGCGUUGUAAACUGCUUUUAUACAGGAAGAAACGACUCUUGCGAGAGGCAUUGACGGUACUGUAUGAAUAAGCACCGGCUAACUCCGUGCCAGCCGCCGCUGUAAUAC